rnacentral:rRNA from 1 species
GACGAACGCUGGCGGCGUGCUUAACACAUGCAAGUCGAACGGAAAGGCCCCUUUGGGGGUACUCGAGUGGCGAACGGGUGAGUAACACGUGAGUAACCUGCCCUUGACUUCGGGAUAACUUCAGGAAACUGGGGCUAAUACCGGAUAGGAAUCCUUGCUGCAUGGUGGGGGUUGGAAAGCUUCGGCGGUUUUGGAUGGACUCGCGGCUUAUCAGCUUGUUGGUGGGGUAGUGGCUUACCAAGGCUUUGACGGGUAGCCGGCCUGAGAGGGCGACCGGCCACAUUGGGACUGAGAUACGGCCCAGACUCCUACGGGAGGCAGCAGUGGGGAAUAUUGCACAAUGGGCGGAAGCCUGAUGCAGCAACGCCGCGUGCGGGAUGACGGCCUCGGGUUGUAAACCGCUUUCAGCAGGGGCGAAGCUUUUGUGACGGUACCUGCAGAAGAAGCACCGGCUAACUACGUG